rnacentral:rRNA from 1 species
GACGAACGCUGGCGGCGUGCUUAACACAUGCAAGUCGAACGGAAAGGCCCUGCUUUUGUGGGGUGCUCGAGUGGCGAACGGGUGAGUAACACGUGAGUAACCUGCCCUUGACUUUGGGAUAACUUCAGGAAACUGGGGCUAAUACCGGAUAGGAGCUCCUGCUGCAUGGUGGGGGUUGGAAAGUUUCGGCGGUUGGGGAUGGACUCGCGGCUUAUCAGCUUGUUGGUGGGGUAGUGGCUUACCAAGGCUUUGACGGGUAGCCGGCCUGAGAGGGUGACCGGCGACAUGGGGACUGAGAGACGGCCCAGACUCCUACGGGGGGCAGCAGUGGGGAAUAUUGCACAAUGGGCGGAAGCCUGAUGCAGCAACGCCGCGUGCGGGAUGACGGCCUUCGGGUUGUAAACCGCUUUCGCCUGUGACGAAGCGUGAGUGACGGUAAUGGGUAAAGAAGCACCGGCUAACUACGUG